UACGUAGGGGGCGAGCGUUAUCCGGAAUCACUGGGCGUAAAGGGUGCGUAGGCGGCCGAUCAAGCCAGGGGUGAAAGGCUACGGCUUAACCGUAGUGAGCCUUUGGAACUGAUUGGCUUGAGUGCAGGAGAGGAGAGUGGAAUUCCUAGUGUAGCGGUGAAAUGCGUAGAUAUUAGGAGGAACACCAGUGGCGAAGGCGACUCUCUGGACUGUAACUGACGCUGAGGCACGAAAGCGUGGGGAGCAAACAGG
rnacentral:rRNA from 1 species